UCUCAGUUCCCAACUCAAAUAAUAAAAUUAUGCAAAACAUAAAUAGAGCAAAGAAAUUGACAUCUUACCCUUCUCUGAUCACAUUUGAUCUUUCUCCUGUGACAUUCAUCACAUGCUCUAGAAACACGCUGUCUACGAGAUACAUCGCCGGAAGACAUUCAGCAGCCUAUCAAUAAACUAUGUUGAAGCCUGCUAACUUCAAACUUGAGGGAGAACAGGUCUUUUAAUUUGUAUUUAUCGAAUCGUUGUUACCGGUUUUUACAACCGAAAGUUAACGCAAGUGAGCAAAAAUGCAGUUUAUCAUUCAAAAUUUAACGCUUUGAAACUAAAGGAAUUUGGUGCUUUAGAUAGGUAAAUAAAUAAAUAAAUGGUGAUCGCUGCGAAGCGAUUAUGGAUGAUAUACGCGACAGGUUAAACCUACGAGAGUGUGUGCCAGCGAUCGUAUACAUCCGCUAAAUAGUAAUUACUCGUUACUUCACGUUAGCAUACAUGUGUAGGUGAAGCAAUGAGAUUAUACCAUGCUAAAUGUUUUUGUUGCGGUAUGUUAAAUAUCGUUAUAAGCCUGACAUCUUCACGUGUGAGUUCUCCAAUGAGUCCUGAAGCUGGAACCAUCAAGCCGUUUAUUGACUAUUUUCAAUAUUACUGAAGAAAAAAGUAUGGGAAAUAAAGAUCAUUCAAGAUCAAGUUUGUCUGUUCAUGUAAGCCACAUAUUAUUUAUUAUAAUAUCAAAGUCUCUCCGUGCCUGAGUUAUGUUCGGUAACUGUAUAUUGCAUAAUACUUUCUGUUGUGUACCACACAUUAUAGUGCGCUACGAACUCACCAAAUAAUAUUACGUAUCCUACAGAGACUUCGCGAAUCGCGUAGUUAGUAAAAAUAUGGAAAAUAACGUGAGUAAACAGUUGAGCGUUAAUAUUGCAGCCACACAAAAUCGGUUGAUUGAAAGCGAAAUAAUGAUUCGGAAUUUCCAUAAAACACAAUUAAUACUCUUAGUGUAUUCAUGUAAUAGCUUGUACAGUUCUCAAAAUAAAUCUUCAGUAGACACGUUUUAAAUAAUAGGGUAAUUACUAGGAUAUGCACGCGACCGUUAGACGCCAUUACAUGUGCAAAAAACACU